AGGAGCCAUAAUGUACAUGUGAAAUGCAAUAAAUAAAUACAAUACAAUAUAUAUCGGAAAAUUCUUAUACGAACAUAAUACAGCCCAAGAUUGUUUUCAUAUUCAUAUUACAUAUCGAGCGAACAUAUUAUCCUAACUUAACAUCAGUGUGUGUGUGCCUUAAGGCUGUCCCCUAUCCGAAUGACUUCGCGCGAUCCUACUCCCUCGACCUCCCUUCCUCGUUCUUUUUUUAAUACUACGUCGGUGGCAAACAAGCAUACGGCCUGCCUGAUGGUAAGCAGUCUCCGUAGCCUAUGUACACCUGCAACUCCAGAGGAGUUACAUGCGCGUUGCCGACCCUAACCCCACCCCCCUCGUUGAGCUCUCGCAACCUUACUCACCGGCAGGAACACAACACUAUGAGUAGGGUCUAGUGUUAUUUGGCUGCGGUUUUCUGUAAGGUGGAGGUACUUCCCCAGUUGGGCUCUGCUCUAGAUCUGGAACCACCUUCACUUGACUUUACUUUUUUGGUUCUUCACCUUUACAACUUGAAUUUGCACAAACAAGUACAUUACUGCAUCCGUUCGCUCUUUUAACACUCACUUUAAACUUAAAUGAACAGUGACCUAUCAUUAAAACUCUCAAAAGUCAGAAUCAGACGAUCAAUUCACAGAGAAUAAUUGCGCGCGCGUCGCGUUGAGUGACACAGGUUCCAGUCCGACGGUCAGGUGGCGCCUGCUCAUCGUCGCCCACGCAGACACCCUCGCGCCAGGGCAACGCACGAAGUUGAAUAGUAUCGAUUUCUCAAAAACUAUUUAAAUAAUUGAAAAAUUGGUAGACGUAAUUGAAGUGUACAUCAUUAUUCACUAUUGGUGACAGCUUCGUGUCUAAGCGUUGCAUAAUAAGGAAGUUUAUAUGGAUUUUAACUCGAAAACAGGGUUCACGAAAAAAUUAUGUCGUGUUUGACCAAGCUGUACUGUUUGACCAAGAUGAUGGCUUUAUAGGGUUAGAGCUUCGGAUUUAUAAAGAGUUAGGAUUAACGGAGUAAAAGUCUUGGUAUUAAGAGCAGGGAUCGGAACCGGUUUUUUGGAAAAACUUUGAAAUAAACAUAUAUUUCGGUUUAUUUUAUACUCUAAAUAUAGGACUCGGUUGUGUUUUUAGAUAACGACUUCGUAUUAUUAGAUUGCCCAAUUAGAAAUGGAAUAAUUAACAAAGAACGAAAAAAUACCGUUUUCGUUUCCAUACAAAAAAUACCGGUUUCCGAUCCCUGAUUAAGAGAUCUGAUGACUUUUUAGUGUGAAAACUAUAGGGACCGUGCGCGUUGGAGGGUCUGCCAUCUUGUGGCCUGAAUCGGAACAAUAAACAUGUACAUUUACACGACACGUGUUGUCUUGUGCAUAGUAGGUUCUGCCAUCUUGUGGGCUACAUCGGAACAAUAAACAUCACAUUUACGCCUCGCGCCAAAAAUCUGACGGCUCCUGUGCUGCCUCCUACAGUUCAUGCACGCUCCCUAUAGGCGCAUGUUAGUCUUGGCAACACCUUACAUGAAAUGUUUUUGGUGGGAUUCUUAAUACACAAGAGAUAACGAUUUGUAAUUAAAUUCUAAAAUGGUUUAAAAUCAAUUUUCCACAGAUAUUAAGUACGUAAGUACCUUUCAGGAUUGAAAAUCUUUUAUUGGAGUACAGCCAUGGUGAAAUUCCUUGUAAUUUUGGCGCUUUUAGUUGCGGGUACGAAGACACAACAUGACCCAAACGAUGAUUAUCCAGAAGGGGACGAUAAUAUUCAUGCUGACGAUCCGACUGGAAAACUAACAGUCGAUUUGAUACCUUCAGAUUACGACUCCUCGUGCGACGAACUCCGCUGCACGAAGCAGUGCUGGAAGAAAUUGUACAGAACUGUCGGCUACUGUUAUAAUAAAGAUCUGUGCGUCUGCUAUAAUGAAGAUUAAGAUGCCAGUUAUUCUACAGUGUGUCCCUAGCCAUUGGACAAAGCCGAAAUGUACAUAUGCAUUAGGGUAUUUAGAACCAGUGUACAAAGUAUCAUAACAACCGGUGUAGCGGUUUCGAAGAAAUUAACAAAUUACCAUUCUAUACUUUGGAGCAGCCUGUAUGUGUUAGUAGCUCCUAAGGUAAUAUCUUCAAAGAAUAAUAUGGAACCUUCUUCGACCUUUUUGAUUAUAUUUUUUAUUUAUGACACUAAUAAGCUUCAGACUUUUGAAAAAUGUCAUCAUUAUCAAAUAUUUCGAACAAAUUGUCAAAAACACUGCCAAAGAUUAACACAGUGUUUCUUUUUGUUGUCGAUUAUUGCAAAUAACUUUUGUUCGAAAUACAUUUUUUUAUCUUUUGUUCUAAUUAAAAAAUAUUAACGUCAGAUCAUUCCUGAGAACCCUACGUGGGAUUUCAUGGUUUGUCCAAUGGCUAAGGUCACCCUGUAUACCUAUUUAAUUAUAUAUGUUAUCAUAAAA